rnacentral:rRNA from 1 species
AGUACGCUUUACACACGCUAACGAGUAGCAAUUGGAGGGCAAGUCUGGUGCCAGCAGCCGCGGUAAUUCCAGCUCCAAUAGCGUAUAUUAAAGUUGCUGCGGUUAAAACGCUCGUAGUUGAAUUGUGGUCUUAGACAACAGUCCCCCUACAUAGGUGUGGCACGGUUGCUCGAGAUCUUCAUUCGUGGUUGCUGUUGUUGCUCUUCAUUGAGUGUCAAUGGUGCCUCGAGAUUUUACUUUGAAAAAAUUAGAGUGCUCAAAGCAGGUUGUGAUGCCUGAAUAAUGGUGCAUGGAAUAAUAGAAUACGAUCUCGGUUCUAUUUUGUUGGUUUUCGAACCGGAGAUAAUGAUUGAAAGGAACAGACGGGGGCAUUCGUAUUGCUGCGUUAGAGGUGAAAUUCUUGGAUCGCAGCAAGAUGAACAAUUGCGAAAGCAUUUACCAAGAAUGUUUUCAUUAAUCAAGAACGAAAGUUAGAGGUUCGAAGGCGAUCAGAUACCGCCCUAGUUCUAACGGUAAACUAUGCCAACCAGCGAUUCGCCGAAGUUCAUUUAAGACUCGGCGAGCAGCUUCCGGGAAACCAAAGUGUUUCGGUUCCGGGGGAAGUAUGGUUGCAAAGCUGAAACUUAAAGGAAUUGACGGAAGGGCACCACCAGGAGUGGAGCCUGCGGCUUAAUUUGACUCAACACGGGAAAACUCACCCGGCCCGGACACUGGAAGGAUUGACAGAUUGACAGCUCUUUCUUGAUUCAGUGGGAAGUGGUGCAUGGCCGUUCUUAGUUGGGGGAGCGAUUUGUCUGGUUAAUUCCGAUAACGAACGAGACUCUACCCUAUUAAAUAGUGAUAGUAUUGUAUUUUUUGUGCUGAUCACUUCUUAGAGGGACUGGCAAAUUGAAAGCUGCACGAAAAAGAGCAAUAACAGGUCUGUGAUGCCCUUCGAUGUCCGGGGCUGCACGCGCGCUACAAUGAAAGCGUCAACGUGAGUUACGUCCUUACCUGAAAAGGUUUGGCAAUCGAAUGAAACGUUUUCUUGAAUGGAAUAGGGAAUUGCAAUUGUUUCCCUUGAACGAGGAAUUCCCAGUAAGCGUGAGUCAUUAGCUCGCGUUGAUUACGUCCCUGCCCUUUGUACACACCGCCCGUCGCUACUACCGAUUGGAUGAUUUAGUGAGGUGUUUUGACUGGCGCCAGUAGUCGGAUGUAUUCGGCUUCGCGCCGGGAAAUUUCCCAAACCAAAUCAUCUAGAGGAAGUAAAAGUCGUAACAAGGUUUCCGUAGGUGAACCUGCGGAAG